rnacentral:rRNA from 1 species
GUGCCAGCAGCCGCGGUAAGACAGAGGGUGCAAACGUUGCUCGGAAUUACUGGGCGUAAAGCGCGUGUAGGCGGGCUUGUAAGUUGGACGUGAAAGCCCUGGGCUCAACCCAGGAAUUGCAUCCAAAACUACAAGUCUAGAGUGAUGGAGAGGGUCGCAGAAUUCCUGGUGUAGAGGUGAAAUUCGUAGAUAUCAGGAGGAACACCGGUGGCGAAGGCGGCGACCUGGACAUUAACUGACGCUGAGACGCGAAAGCGUGGGGAGCAAACAGGAUUAGAAACCCCGGUAGUCC